CCCCUUGGGGAGUAGCCUGCUUUCGUCAUCGAAAGCGCCUGCAUCAACAUACUCGGCCAGUGCGCCGUGGUGCAGGCAACCAGUUUCGGUUUGGCGAGACCAACGGCAUGCGUGCACGACGACGGUUGGCGCGGGCGCAUGUCGUUGUGACCGUGCCCAAC
rnacentral:sRNA from 2 species